rnacentral:rRNA from 1 species
CAAUAGCGUAUAUUAAAGUUGUUGCAGUUAAAAAGCUCGUAGUUGGAUUUCAAGAAACGCAUCCAGAAAUGGAUUGCUUUCUACCAGUCUUUGACUGUUACUGUGAGAAAAUUAGAGUGUUUCAAGCAGGCUUUGCAGGAAUACAUUAGCAUGGAAUAACGCGUGUGUCUACAAUUUGGUUGAUUGUAGAUUACGAUUAAUAGGGACAGUUGGGGGCAUUAGUAUUUAAUAGUCAGAGGUGAAAUUCUUGGAUUUGUUAAAGACUAACGUAUGCGAAAGCAUUUGCCAAGGAUGUUUNCAUUA